UCCCGGUUAACCCGGGCAGUCUCUUUAGAGUGCCCAACUUAAUGCUGGCAACUAAAGAUGGGGGUUGCGCUCGUUGCGAGACUUAACCCAACAUUUCACAACACGAGCUGACGACAGCCAUGCAGCACCUGUCACUGUAUUCCCUUGCGGGCACUCCCACCAUUACGCGGGAUUCACAGGAUUUCAAGCCCAGGUAAGGUUUUGCGCGUUGCUUCGAAUUAAACCACAUAAUCCACCGCUUGUGCGGGCCCCCGUCAAUUCCUUUGAGUUUUAGCCUUGCGGCCGUACUUCCCAGGCGGAGCACUUAACGCGUUAGCUACGUUCCUGGAGGGGUCAAUACCUCCAAAAACUAGUGCUCAUCGUUUACGGCGUGGACUAC
rnacentral:misc_RNA from 1 species